rnacentral:ncRNA from 2 species
UGUCUUGAGGAGCGUUGCAACGGCCCCCGCGCCGCCAGGCUCAAGGCAGUGUUCCCGUCGGCCGCCUGCGCGGCCGUACACCGCAACGGCGCUCACGUCUU